rnacentral:lncRNA from 1 species
ACGAGCACUGCGAGUACGUUCCUUCUUAUCAACGGUAGGGCUACGGAUCUCAACUGUCAAAAAGCUAGGGCUUUCGGAGGAAGAAGAGAGGAGGUCGUCAUUGCCAUUGGCUCUUUGCUUGUUCCACCAUUCCUGAAACUCAUGAUUGGGCGGCCGAGACAUAUAUGGAUAAUGCGAGUGAAUCAAUGGUCGCCGUUGAUAUUGUCGGAAGAAGAGAGGAGGUCAUCAUUGCCAUUGGCUCUUUGCUUGUUCCACCAUUCCUGAAACUCAUGAUUGGGCGGCCGAGACAUAUAUGGAUAAUGCGAGUGAAUCAAUGGUCGCCGUUGAUAUUGUCUACUUUCAGAUCUCGAUUUUGUGCCGGCUAUGGAACAUGGAGAUAGUGUGUAGUGUGUGUGAGAGUGCCUAGUGUGAUCCGGAGAAUAGGGAAGAAAUGCCGGAAGCUAAUGAAGCUAAAUUUAGUUAAGUCCAGAAGCUCAGACUGUCUAAAGUUCGAGUUGG